GACGAACGCUGGCGGCGUGCUUAACACAUGCAAGUCGAACGGAAAGGCCCUGCUUUUGUGGGGUGCUCGAGUGGCGAACGGGUGAGUAACACGUGAGUAACAUGCACUUGACUUUGGGAUAACUUCACGAAACUGGGGCUAAUACCGGAUAGGAGCUCCUGCUGCAUGGUGGUGGUUGGAAAGUUUCGGCGGUUGGGGAUGGACUCGCGGCUUAUCAGCUUGUUGGUGGGGUAGUGGCUUACCAAGGCUUCGACGGGUAGCCCGCCUGAGAGGGUGACCGGGCUCCUUACGACUGAGGGACGCACCAGACUGCUACCGGCCGCAAUAGUGGGGAAUAUGGCACAAUAGGGGGAAGCCUGAUGCAGCAACCUCCGGUGCGGGAUGAUCGCUUUCUGGUGGUGAACCGCUUUCGCCUGAGAUGUAGCGGGAUUGACGGUACCUGGUAAGAAAGCACCGGCUAACUACGUG
rnacentral:rRNA from 1 species